rnacentral:lncRNA from 1 species
AGUUAAAGGAAAUUCUGGGUUUUUCUCCACUACAUGCUUAUUGCUUCAAGAGAAGUUUUGAAUGGAUUCUCUCUUCAGUCCCUCUCAAUGUUCACAGAGUGCUUCUGGAGCUCCCAAGAAAUUACCGUCUGCCAUGAGACCAAGACAAAGAAGAGUUCCUUCCUGGGCGAGCAAAUACAAAGGAACUGAAAAGAAGUUUCCACAACUUGACAGGAUAAAAUACUUUAAACACGGCAGCGAGGUCCCCUAUGAAGUGUGUGUGGAGCUAGAGGCUGACAUUUUUGCAGACCCACCAAACACCUCCAGGGAAAAUGUCCAGAACACUGAAGUGCAGGAGUUCAAAUUCAAGGUCGAGAUGGAGAAGGAGAUGCCACUACCCAGGGCUGAAGACUUCCAGAGAAGUGAUUCAAGAUAUCCAAUCCACCAAGAAGAGGAAGCUGGAGGAGAAGAUUACACUCUGCCCAACCUGGUCACCAAGAACUUCUGUGAUCCUCAGGAUUUCUCUGAAGAAAAGAGCUCCCAGUCCAAGAAGCGGCUUCUACUAGAUUCCUCAGGGAUCUCAGGCAGGACCAAGAGACCUUGUCCACAGGGCAGUCUUGGCCCCACUUUGUGCUACCACCAGAAGUGCUGUGAACUGGUCUUGCUGCAUGAGGAAGUCAAGGAAUUGCACACUAGAAUAGAUGCUAUGACCAUUGCCAUGAAUGCUUUGCAACAGUACAUCCAAGCCAUGCAUCAGCUCCUGGAAAUCCAGGUAAAGAGAUGUAGUAGUUCGAAGGAAAAUUGCAAUCAGAGCAAAGCCACCAGGGACCAACCAGUCCUCUCCUUCCCAUUUCCAGCACACAGCACCCCCUUUAAAAGCACUCUAUGCUCCACUUCCUCAGCCAGACCCUGUCAAGAAAGAGCCCACAGACCCUGUCACAAUUCUGCCUCGUAAAAUGGCUGAAGCAACUGGGAAGCGGUGUGCACCCUACCCCGAUUCCCAGAGAUUCACGCUAUGUCCUCAAAUGACACUACACCUGCAUGGACAAGAAGUGGCCACUCUGAGGGAAACACUUCAUUCUCAGAGACCGAUGAUGAAGAUUGUUAACUUAUUACUGACCCAGUGGUGACAGACUAGCCAUGCACCAGGAGACACACCCCCUUUUGUAAUUUGUAAUUUCUUAUCAGUAACUCUCCAUAUCUGUUAGAAAGGUUGUCUUUGGUUUUAUUUUCUUCUAGUGAGAUUAGUAGUGUGGGGAGGAGAGAAUUUGGACAUUUCACUUUGAGAAGCAAAAUGUAAAGAACUUAAUAAAUAUCAGCUUCUUUGCUUGUAACA